AAGGUUUUUAAAAGUAGUUUGCCCAUCCACAGGGUAGUACCGUCAUAAAAAUACAUCUCGGUUAGAAUGUGAUAACUUUGGAAGAAGGCAUAUUAUUCAUUAUUCGACCCUAGGUAAUGGGAGUCGAUCGGAAGCUGUUCAUUAGGUCGUAAUGAAAUAAUUAUGCAUGGCGUCCUAUCCGUGUUCCUGUCUGCUUAUUGCCAACAAAGUAUUGGUAAAUAAUUUGCAUAAACUCAGUGUGCACCGUUCUGCUGGUUUUCUUUUUUCGAGGAACCCUCAGAAGAUCUACAUAUGCCCAUACAUCUUCUCAUUAACCAUAAUGACCUGACAUGCCUACUACUUCUGUAAUAAGUCAACUUUGUUUUUCUGACUUUUUUUGGAGGCAUGGCAACUUCACAUCAGAUCGAUGCAAGGUCAAAUACCUUUUGAAAUUCAACUUGUUGUUGAACCUUUUUUGAAAUUUUACGUAUCUGUACAUUCGCAUUGGCAAAUAAUCCGUGGUACCUA